UGGAGUAUAGCCAAGUCAGGUAAGGCUCUGCUUUUUGGCAGCAGGAUCAAAGGUUCAAAUCCUUUUACUCCAA
rnacentral:tRNA from 1 species